GAUCUGUGAGACCCAAGGCAUUGGGGCUCUGGUCACCGCCGCACAGCUUCCCCAUUCGAUACAAUCCUACCGAACUACUCCCAGACACCUAAAUUAUGCCGUAAAGUUACUUAAAUAAUGUUUCCUUUCUUGGUGCUUCCCUCCCCUUUUAAACUGGCACUUUUCAUUCUAAAAUAGGGAAUUAGAGGUGAACUAUGCAAGGAUUUGAGUCCUGAUCUACUGUCACUUCAUUAACUUUUGAAAUCCUCACCAUGCAGUACAAGGAGUUGGCUAAAGUCUCGCAGCAAAGACAAAUUGCCUCACAUCUCAUCAGAUUAUCCAACCCGUGUUUCUGCUUCUGUCCUUGCCCUUCUGAAAACGUUCAGUUGUUGGAACACUUACAAGAUUGUUACAGCUGAGAGUCCAGUUUUAUUUUAUUUGUCUGCAAAAGAAAGACUGUAACCGACAGAGAAGGGGGAAUAAGGGAAAAUGACUUAUAAAGUUAUUUUCUUAAUUGGAAUUUUUGUUGUCCUUCCACUAUAUGGUUCAUUAUAACAAUUACCAAUUGUGGAAGGAAAAAUUUAUUCCAGAAUGAAGAAUCAGGGAAAGUUUUAUGGAAAAGUUAUCAUUUGAAAGGAGGACCUUGAAGGAUAAGUAAGAUUUGUACCCUAAAUGGAGUGUAACCAAGAUAGAUGUCCAGUUUAAUGAUGUCUACUAGAGGAUCAACUUUAGAGUCUUAAGCCUGACGUUUAUGGAUCUUCAAAAAUUGGCCUCAGUCUACACUUACCACCCUCCUCUCCAUUCACACUUCUCCCUGCAACUAAUGCUGUAAACAAAGAAUGCAAGACUACAUCUGAAUAAAUUAGAAUAUGUGGCAGAGAUUCUAAAUGCUACUGGAUCUCAGAAGACAUCACUCUGUGUUGGAGUCAUUAUGGAAUUUCUUGCUAAAGAAGGUGGGAUUUGAAACAGGUAUUGAAAGAUGAGAGUGAUUUUGAGCUGUUGCAGCUAUGACACCUUCCCCAUAGCAGACCUUUAUUGAAAGUUUAUUGACUUGAACUUUUGACUUGGAUAACAGACAAAGAGGAGAAAAGACUUUGUGAAUGAAGAAAAACCAGGAUCAGAAGCUCCAGUGUAGGGACGAGCUGGAUACGUGUGGAAAACGAGGACAUUUUCCUGAUGAGGGUGUGUUCUGGCCAACAGUGAAUAUUAAGUUUGGCCAUGUAGGCUGGGAACAAGAUUAUAGAUCUGAAAACUAAAGGGCAUGGUUGGAUUUUGUACAGGAGGCAAUAGUGAGCUGUUUGUUCUCACACUAGUAUGACAGUAUUUUAGGUUUGUUAGCCUGAUGAGGGUAAGUAGGCUAGAUGGGAAACAAAGUCUGGGAGAUUAGGUAGGAGGCCUCAACUGGGAUAAAAACUGUUCCUUAUACUUUUUACAUCUCAUUAUGACUUAUAAAGCACCCAGUAAGCCUACAGGUUCUCACAACAAGCCUUGGAGAGUGGUAGGACAGAUAUGAAUGUUCUUAUUCUACCUGAGAACUGAGAUUCAAUUCAGAUUUGUCUGAAGUCAUAGAACUGGUAAAUGGUGUCAAACUACUUUUUUGUCUUUCGCUAUUUAAGUUCAGUGUUCCUGUUAUUAAGAAAUAGAAAUGAGGAGACAGCAAAAACUGAAAAUGAAUGAUCUAUGCAACUUUAUAAAGUAUGUGAAUCAGCAUAAUUCACAUCAUGUAGUGUUAAAUAUCCUGGCCUGAAUAUCAGGAAAUUUAAGCCCUAAUCCUUGAGUUAUUGUGAACUAGUGUGACUUUAAAUGACUGUCUUCUAUGCUCACUUUCUUCUUCUUUGUCUGUCUGUAACACGGGAGCUGUACACAAAGUGCUCUUUAAAUUCAUUCUGGCUCACUGGUCUUGGAGUUUGUGAGUGAGUCAUUGGCUAGAGGUCUGGGAUGACCAAGUGGGUCUGGUAUCACAGUGGUAAGAAAAUUGGACAGAGUCUACUUGAAGGCCAGGGAUGGUGAGCUCAGAUUUGCCCACCAGGAAGAAUUUAUAGAGUGGUAGGCAGAAUAACAGCCCCGAAAUACAGCUAUGCCCUAAUUCUUGGAGUCUGUGACUAUGUUACCUUACAUGGCAAAAGAAAUUGCAGGUGUAUUUAAAGUAAGUAUUUUGAGAUGGGGAGAUUAUCCUAGAUGAUCUGGGUGGGUUUCUGUAAAGGAAACAGGG